UUGCUCUGGUUUCUUUUCAGAACAAACAAAUCUUUCGCCUUUCACUAAAGGUUUCCGUGAAGAGGAAAAAAACAGUGUUGUCUCAAUCGUGUAUGCCCCAGCUUAAUGGGGUU